ACCUGUUUAACAAAUUUAAAGAGAUACCUGGAUGAUUAGGUUUUGUCCGUCUCGACCACCAAAUCAGAUAUCAAUUCACGGAGGGGAAAAAAAAAUUCAAAAGCAUAUACGCAGUAAAUACAAAGCAGCAGCAUAGAACGCAACACAAUCGUAAACCACAAGGAACAACGAGAAGAAAAUGCCCUAAAAUGAUUGACUGCAGGUAAAAAGAAAGAAGCAUCGGGAAACAAGGGCUUCGUACACCAGUUCGAGAGGGAGGAGGAAAAGAUAGGGUUUUGGUACCAGUUCCAGAGACCGAUCUUGAAGGGGUCGGACUUGCGAAAGGAGAAAGGGGAGAGGGUAUCGAUCCUCCAUUGAGCGAGCCGCGGCGUGGUCUCCACCCGGUACGCGCGCUCGCUCAUCCUCGCUGCCGACGCCGCGAUCGCUGCGGCGACGUCAUUGAUACAGUCGAAGAUCCCCAGCAAGUCCUCCGCCUUUCCCAGUUUCGCCUGCUGCUCUUCCACGGUUCCUUCUCAUCAACACCCCGCGCAGGCGCAGAAGCAGAGGCACUCCCCUCCUCCGUUACUCCCACCAAAACCUAGAAAUAGCCAAAAGUGGACAAGGAAACGGAGAAUCCGUCAAGGAAUCCAGCACGCAAAGCUCACCAGCAAUUGCUUCUACGCCAUUUGUUUUAUGCGGAGUGGAGGAGGGACAGCGAAAGUAAAGGAGCUUCUUUUAACGGCCUCGGCCAUGUCCUAAUUCUCAAGCUUCAGACCUUCCCUAUUUAUAAACAAAUGGAGAUGAA